GAUCAUUAAUGAGUUAUUUAACUCCCGAACCACUGUGAACUUAC
rnacentral:rRNA from 1 species